ensembl:lncRNA
GCUUCUUCUACUCUAUUUCCUGCCGUCAUGCAGCCAUGCGGAGCCUUUAGCGCCGACCACGUACAGCCCGGCUCCUUCUCUGCACGCGCAGUUGAAGGAAAUUUGCCAAAAUCGGUUUUGUUUUGUUUUCAAAAUUUCACUCCAAAUGUACUUGACAUGGAUUGGAAACACUGGCUGGUGUGCUCUAGUUUUUGGAUGACUGGUUCCACGUCGUUCAUCUCUACCGUUGCUCCUGCCCUCUGACCCCACGCCGUCUCCAUCCAUGGAUAAAGGAAAGGACUCACUGUAGUGACUGGAUGUCAUUAAAGCGCCUGAUCCCACUUGACCUCUUGAUCCAACAGCUGGAGCCCGGAGCCACGAGACUGUCCCUGCAGUCUGGGUCCGGCUCACAGAUCCGGGGCUCAGUCUGGACGGGAGCGAUGCUGAAUGGCGGACUAGUCGCGUGCCUUUGCCCUACUUCUUUGCCUCCAUCCUCGCUCCCUGAGGGAUGUGCUCAGGCUUUCAUUUUCCCAUUUUCAGCUGGCGGAUGUCACAAUCUGGCUGCUCUUUACCUCUGGAGGAGUCUGGAGAGUUACCGUUCCAAGACACCACCUGUCAUGCUCUGACUAUGUUCCUUUCCAUGAGGAGAGACUUUUACUGGAGCAAAACAAUCAUCUUCAAUCAACUUCAUGCCCACGAUCGGACGAAGGGGGCCGAGCGACAACUUGACAGGAACCCAUCACUGGUGAUGAAGCC